rnacentral:rRNA from 1 species
CAGUAGCCACGGUAAUACGUAGGUGGCAAGCGUUGUCCGGAAUUAUUGGGCGUAAAGGGCUCGCAGGCGGUUUCUUAAGUCUGAUGUGAAAGCCCCCGGCUCAACCGGGGAGGGUCAUUGGAAACUGGGAAACUUGAGUGCAGAAGAGGAGAGUGGAAUUCCACGUGUAGCGGUGAAAUGCGUAGAGAUGUGGAGGAACACCAGUGGCGAAGGCGACUCUCUGGUCUGUAACUGACGCUGAGGAGCGAAAGCGUGGGGAGCGAACAGGAUUAGAGACCCCUGUAGUCCCUGUCUCUUAUAC